AAUCAAACGUACAAUAGUAACCUUUGUACGGACGGUAUAAAAGUCGAUGAUUUUCGAUAUGAGCACAUAGAUCGAAAGACGAAGCAGAAGUUAGAACUGAUAUUGAAUUUUUACUCGAGUUAUCGAUAACCAUGAAGGGAUUUGGUAUCUUCGCCUUUUUGCUGCUUGUCCUCGGACUCGUUGGAGUUUAUUCUCAACCAUCGAACGAUCGUUUGGUCCGUGAAGCGAAACCUGACGCAUCAUCCCCCCCUCAUGCGCCGUGUCGCCCGUACUGCCAAGUGAACUCAACGGCGUCAAGCUAGGCCCGGAGCCUGCGCGCGAAUUUUCUGCAAACACUGAGAAACCGGCGAUGAUAAUAAUUAACUCUACCAGCUUCGACAGCCUCAAUUGACAUUCAUCGAUCGGAUCUCCGCCCCGUUUCCUCUACACAUCAGGAACAAAAAAGAGGCGCCAUCAUGUCUCAGGCAAUGGCAAGAGAGCGGAGUUUCCGUAUCGAAAAGUAGAUCCACCUGCGUCACCUGAUCAAUCUCAUUG